rnacentral:rRNA from 1 species
CAGCAGCCGCGGGAAUACAGAGGGUGCGAGCGUUAAUCGGAUUUACUGGGCGUAAAGCGUGCGUAGGCGGCCUUUUAAGUCGGAUGUGAAAUCCCUGAGCUUAACUUAGGAAUUGCAUUCGAUACUGGGAAGCUAGAGUAUGGGAGAGGAUGGUAGAAUUCCAGGUGUAGCGGUGAAAUGCGUAGAGAUCUGGAGGAAUACCGAUGGCGAAGGCAGCCAUCUGGCCUAAUACUGACGCUGAGGUACGAAAGCAUGGGGAGCAAACAGGAUUAGAUACCCCAGUAGUCCCUGUCUCUUAUAC